GACAAAAUUGACUUUUGUGAGACAAAAUUCAAUUUUGUGAGACAAAACUCAAUUUUGUCAAUUUUGUCUCACAAAAGUCAAUUUUGUCAAUUUUGUU
rnacentral:sRNA from 1 species